GCAUUAUACCGUGAAACUGCGAAUGGCUCAUUAAAUCAGUUAUCGUUUAUUUGAUAGUACCUUACUACUUGGAUAACCGUGGUAAUUCUAGAGCUAAUACAUGCUGAAAACCCCGACUUCGGGAGGGGUGUAUUUAUUAGAUAAAAAACCAACGCCCUUCGGGGCUUCUUGGUGAUUCAUGAUAACUUCACGGAUCGCAUGGCCUUGCGCCGGCGACGGUUCAUUCAAAUUUCUGCCCUAUCAACUUUCGAUGGUAAGGUAUUGGCUUACCAUGGUUUCAACGGGUAACGGGGAAUUAGGGUUCGAUUCCGGAGAGGGAGCCUGAGAAACGGCUACCACAUCCAAGGAAGGCAGCAGGCGCGCAAAUUACCCAAUCCCGACACGGGGAGGUAGUGACAAUAAAUACUGAUACAGGGCUCUUUUGGGUCUUGUAAUUGGAAUGAGUACAAUUUAAACCUCUUAACGAGGAACAAUUGGAGGGCAAGUCUGGUGCCAGCAGCCGCGGUAAUUCCAGCUCCAAUAGCGUAUAUUAAAGUUGUUGCAGUUAAAAAGCUCGUAGUUGAAACUUGGGCCUGGCUGGCAGGUCCGCCUCACCGCGUGUACUUGUCCGGCCGGGCCUUUCCUUCUGGAGAACCUCAUGCCCUUCACUGGGUGUGCUGGGGAACCAGGACUUUUACUUUGAAAAAAUUAGAGUGUUCAAAGCAGGCCUUUGCUCGAAUACGUUAGCAUGGAAUAAUAGAAUAGGACGUGCGGUCCUAUUUUGUUGGUUUCUAGGACCGCCGUAAUGAUUAAUAGGGACAGUCGGGGGCAUCAGUAUUCAAUUGUCAGAGGUGAAAUUCUUGUAUUUAUUGAAGACUAACUACUGCGAAAGCAUUUGCCAAGGAUGUUUUCAUUAAUCAGUGAACGAAAGUUAGGGGAUCGAGACGAUCAGAUACCGUCGUAGUCUUAACCGUAAACUAUGCCGACUAGGG
rnacentral:rRNA from 1 species